rnacentral:lncRNA from 1 species
CUAAUACUAUUUAAUUGAACAAAUUUAUUAAUCUACACGUGGUUAUCUUCCACACAACAGGUAUACCAACAAAUACACAAGCAGAUUUUCCAUUAAUCAAACAAGUCUCUGAACAGUGCAUUCCAUCAUUGAUGCUUACAUGUGAAGAUUCAGUAGUGUACCUGGAAAUAGCAAGGAACGAGGAAGAUGAAUGAAUCAGCAAUUAACGAUAUCUAGCGAUUAAACAGCAGCAACAAGCAACAGGAUGCAACAGCAUAGUUCAAAAACCCAGAAAUCCAGCAGCAAUAAUAGACCCAGGAAUGCCAAAUAUAAAACCGACAAUUUGGAAAUCCAGCAAAACCAUGAACCAGCAGGAAUAAACCCCAAACCAAUUCAAAACAAAUCCCAGAUCAAGCUAAUAGACGGAACUCCAAAAGAAAAUCCUGACUUUACCCACAACCAAUGAAACAAUGGAAAUUUUUGUUGUUUUCUAUUUUCUGUAUGUAUUUUUUUUUUGUACUUUUUGUGUAGUUGAAUGCAGAGGCUAAUCUAGAGCUAAAAAGGAAAAGACAAAUGGAUUUCUUAUGGAAUUUUUUAGCUGAAAGUUGAAGACCCCUUCCUCAAGGCAAUUAGUGACCUUUUAUAAGAGUAAAAAGGGCAGCCCUAAGAUUUUAGGCUUGCACUAUCAGUCCCUGAUUAUUUACAACUUUUAACCAUCAAUUUUAAACUUUCCAAACAAGUUACUGCCGUAAUUCUAUUUAAAACCACACUAAGGUCCUAUUCUAGAAGCCUCUAUGGCACUCUUUUAGCAAGAUAAUUCCUACACAACCCUUCCCCUGUUUUAAAAUUACAAAUCCUAAAGAUUCUACCCUUUUCUAUCCCUAAAAAGCCCUUGACCAGCCCCUAAAAUUGCUGAGUUAACUACACCCAUCCCUUACCCCAGUUAAAGUUUAAACCAAGUUAACUAAUCAAAACUUCUCAGCUAUAUUCAAAACAACCAAUUAACACUACUCCGAACCAUACUAAUAUUAAACUAAACCUAAAACAAAUUUAAACCAGAUUCCAAGUCAAAUUCCUCAUGAACAGAAUUGAAGAGAUACACUAAUUACCAGUGACCAAUUAAGCAAUCAAGAUCAAUACGAAAGAAAAAAUUAAUCUUACGCUUAUAACUAACCAAUACGGACAGAAAAUUAGUGACCGGAACUAAUUAAUUAUGACGAUUCUAGAACUAAGGCUAUGAUUUAACUAAAAUAAAACAAAAACAUGAAUAACAGAACAAACUAACACUUAGGCAGGAUUCAUUGAUUAAAGAAACGAGUAAACGAAUCGGAAUCGACAUUAAACUAUCAUAGUAAAAUAAGCAACCAAUCAAGCAUAACAAUAAACUCAAUUAAACAAAACAAACAACUACACAGAAAUGGAUCGAUUGACCGGAGAGAAGGAGAAGAAAGAAAUUAAACUGUACUAACUAAAAUAAAACCAAAACGUUGCAGAAACUUACUAGAAAAGACACUCAAUCGAGAAAACUGCCCAAAACUGGCAUGGAUCGUGUGAACCCUAGAUGUGGACUUGAGGGAGAACUGUUGAAAUUUGAAGUACCCUGGAUUUGAGGUGUGGAAGAUGGAUAGACCCUCUGGUAGCAAUUUGGGCUUGUUUGGAUGAAUUUGAGACUUGGCCGCAAUUUUCGAUUUGAUUUUCGAGACGAUUGGUUGAUAUUCGAUGGCCAAUGUUUACAUAUUUGGACUGAGGGAUUUGAAGAGCUUCAGGGGUGUGAUUUUGGCGGUGAUUGGAGGUGGCGCCGCCACCGGUGGCUUGGGAUUUUGAGGGCGGCACUAUUAUGGUUCCUG